rnacentral:rRNA from 1 species
UACGAAGGGGGCUAGCGUUGCUCGGAAUCACUGGGCGUAAAGCGCACGUAGGCGGCUUUUUAAGUCAGGGGUGAAAUCCUGGAGCUCAACUCCAGAACUGCCUUUGAUACUGGGAAGCUUGAGUCCGGGAGAGGUGAGUGGAACUCCGAGUGUAGAGGUGAAAUUCGUAGAUAUUCGGAAGAACACCAGUGGCGAAGGCGGCUCACUGGCCCGUUACCGACGCUCAGGCGCGACAGCGUGGGGAGCAAACAGG